CAUCUUCGGGGCAGGGUGCAAUUCCCGACCGGCGGUAAUUAUGUGGUAGCUGUACGACAACUACGAUUUCACAUACGAGCCCGCGACCUAUUCAUUGUUAUGAAUAGCUGACUUGGUGUAACUCCAAGGCCGACAGUACAGUCUGGAUGGGAGAAGGUG
rnacentral:ncRNA from 1 species